rnacentral:rRNA from 1 species
AGCAGCCGCCACGGUAAUACGUAGGGAGCAAGCGUUGUUCGGAUUUACUGGGCGUAAAGGGCGCGUAGGCGGCGCGGUAAGUCACUUGUGAAAUCUCUGAGCUUAACUCAGAACGGCCAAGUGAUACUGCUGUGCUAGAGUGCGGAAAAGGCAACCGGAAUUCUUGGUGUAGCGGUGAAAUGCGUAGAUAUCAAGAGGAACACCUGAGGCGAAGGCGGGUUGCUGGGCCGACACUGACGCUGAUGCGCGAAAGCCAGGGGAGCAAACGGGAUUAGAGACCCCGGUAGUCCCUGUCUCUUAUAC